rnacentral:rRNA from 1 species
GGUGAGCUAGAGUAUGGGAGAGGAUGGUAGAAUUCCAGGUGUAGCGGUGAAAUGCGUAGAGAUCUGGAGGAAUACCGAUGGCGAAGGCAGCCAUCUGGCCUAAUACUGACGCUGAGGUACGAAAGCAUGGGGAGCAAACAGGAUUAGAUACCCUGGUAGUCCAUGCCGUAAACGAUGUCUACUAGCCGUUGGGGCCUUUGAGGCUUUAGUGGCGCAGCUAACGCGAUAAGUAGACCGCCUGGGGAGUACGGUCGCAAGACUAAAACUCAAAUGAAUUGACGGGGGCCCGCACAAGCGGUGGAGCAUGUGGUUUAAUUCGAUGCAACGCGAAGAACCUUACCUGGCCUUGACAUACUAGAAACUUUCCAGAGAUGGAUUGGUGCCUUCGGGAAUCUAGAUACAGGUGCUGCAUGGCUGUCGUCAGCUCGUGUCGUGAGAUGUUGGGUUAAGUCCCGCAACGAGCGCAACCCUUUUCCUUACUUGCCAGCAUUUCGGAUGGGAACUUUAAGGAUACUGCCAGUGACAAACUGGAGGAAGGCGGGGACGACGUCAAGUCAUCAUGGCCCUUACGGCCAGGGCUACACACGUGCUACAAUGGUCGGUACAAAGGGUUGCUACACAGCGAU